GGCGGCGGCGCCACCACGCGCCUUCCUCAGCCGCUGUUAACCCCGGGGUCUAGAGAAGCACUGAGAGGACUCCUCAGCCUGAUCUCCUGCCCUGGGAGAAGCCAGCUGCCAUAUCAUGAGAACGUUUAAGCAUCCUUGAGGAGCGGUCCUUGUGCUUUCCAGUGACUGCAGCCCUGGCCAACCUCUUGAUGGCCUCCUCAUGAGAGCUGAUGAGCCAGGACCACCCAAUGAAGCCAUUCCUGGAUUCGUGUCCUGCAGACACG